rnacentral:rRNA from 1 species
ACAAAUGCCCUGCUUCCAGGAAAAGCCUCUAAGCAUCAGGUAACACGAAAUCGUACCCCAAACCGACACAGGUGGUCAGGUAGAGAAUACCAAGGCGCUUGAGAGAACUCGGGUGAAGGAACUAGGCAAAAUGGUGCCGUAACUUCGGGAGAAGGCACGCUGACACGUAGGUGAAGUGAUUUACUCAUGGAGCUGAAGUCAGUCGAAGAUACCAGCUGGCUGCAACUGUUUAUUAAAAACACAGCACUGUGCAAACACGAAAGUGGACGUAUACGGUGUGACGCCUGCCCGGUGCCGGAAGGUUAAUUGAUGGGGUCAGCGCAAGCGAAGCUCCUGAUCGAAGCCCCGGUAAACGGCGGCCGUAACUAUAACGGUCCUAAGGUAGCGAAAUUCCUUGUCGGGUAAGUUCCGACCUGCACGAAUGGCGUAAUGAUGGCCAGGCUGUCUCCACCCGAGACUCAGUGAAAUUGAACUCGCUGUGAAGAUGCAGUGUACCCGCGGCAAGACGGAAAGACCCCGUGAACCUUUACUAUAGCUUGACACUGAACAUUGAGCCUUGAUGUGUAGGAUAGGUGGGAGGCUUUGAAGCGUGGACGCCAGUCUGCGUGGAGCCGACCUUGAAAUACCACCCUUUAAUGUUUGAUGUUCUAACGUGGACCCGUGAUCCGGGUUGCGGACAGUGUCUGGUGGGUAGUUUGACUGGGGCGGUCUCCUCCUAAAGAGUAACGGAGGAGCACGAAGGUUGGCUAAUCCUGGUCGGACAUCAGGAGGUUAGUGCAAUGGCAUAAGCCAGCUUGACUGCGAGCGUGACGGCGCGAGCAGGUGCGAAAGCAGGUCAUAGUGAUCCGGUGGUUCUGAAUGGAAGGGCCAUCGCUCAACGGAUAAAAGGUACUCCGGGGAUAACAGGCUGAUACCGCCCAAGAGUUCAUAUCGACGGCGGUGUUUGGCACCUCGAUGUCGGCUCAUCACAUCCUGGGGCUGAAGUAGGUCCCAAGGGUAUGGCUGUUCGCCAUUUAAAGUGGUACGCGAGCUGGGUUUAGAACGUCGUGAGACAGUUCGGUCCCUAUCUGCCGUGGGCGCUGGAGAACUGAGGGGGGCUGCUCCUAGUACGAGAGGACCGGAGUGGACGCAUCACUGGUGUUCGGGUUGUCAUGCCAAUGGCACUGCCCGGUAGCUAAAUGCGGAAGAGAUAAGUGCUGAAAGCAUCUAAGCACGAAACUUGCCCCGAGAUGAGUUCUCCCUGAGACUUAGAGUCUCCUGAAGGAACGUUGAAGACGACGACGUUGAUAGGCCGGGUGUGUAAGCGCAGCGAUGCGUUGAGCUAACCGGUACUAAUGAACCGUGAGGCUUAACC